rnacentral:lncRNA from 1 species
AGAUCAUUUAAGCACUAUCACUGCUAUCACCAGAGAGAUUGGAAAAGGUACGUAGAAGAGUUCAUAGACUGGGUAGAUACAUGUGGGAAGUGGGGAGAGGGAAAGAGGGUGUGUGUGGAGGGGUACCUCUGACACUGGGAAUUACAUGACAGAAAGUUGGGUACCAACGAGUGUCCUGAGAUCUUCCUAAGAUUUCAGAAGCCAGGGAACCAAGGUUUGUCUUCCCUCAACAUGUUGAUUUUCUCUGGCUCCCAUCCCCAACUUAUGGAGUCAGGGAAAAUAACCUCAUUCCCAGUUGGAGGCUGCUGUCUUAGCUUCCUACUUAAUGUGUGAAGGAGAAGAAAAUUGUAAGUCCUGCUGGGUUAGGCAUGAAAGAGUUGUAGCACAGACAUGGAUUCCCACAGUGACAAUGUAAGACUAGAACAAACACCAGACGGUCUUCAAUAACUAUUUUAAUUCUUGCCUCUUUAACCUUCAUCUGUGAAAUACCAAGCAGUUGAACUUUUGGAACCAGUCAUUUCUGUUCUUUGAGAAAGUAGAGAUUGUUGACUGUACAGUGUAUAUCCAAAUAUUGCUCUCAUUCUCUAUCCCAUUGGUCGCUGGGCUAGGAAAUAUUCAGAGGAGUUAUGUGAGUUAAAAGGGACAUUGUAGAACAUCAGUUUACUCAGGAGGUUUUUAGCUGUGCUUGGAGAAUUCCUAAUGAUCUGACUAAAUAUCUCAUGAACUAUUAACCAAGGAACUAGGGUAUGUCCUGGAGGGGUUGGAGAGAGGUAAGGUAAGGUUGAGUGGAGGGGGCUUAGAGACCACAUCUUCCAACUGAGCACUCAUAUAUUUUAUAUACCUACAUUUAUAUCUAUAUAUAAACAUGCUUGUGUACAUGCAUAUUUGUUUUUAUUUAUUUAUUUAUUUGUGAUACUCAGAAUUGAACCCAGGGACACUCAACCACUGAGCUAUAUCCCUAGCCCUUUUUCAUAAAUAUAUAUAUAUAUAUAUAUAUAUAUAUAUAUUAGAAUCUCAAUAAGUUGUCUAGAAUGACUUUUUACAGUAUUAGGGAUUGAACCCAGGGAUAUUCUACCACUAAGCCACAUACCCAGACUUUUUUCUUUCUUUCUUUUUUUUUGAGAUAACUUCUCCCUAAGUUCCAAAACUGCCCUCUAACUUGUGAUACUCCUGCCUCAGCCUCCUGAAUCAAUGGGAGUACAGGUGUGCACCAUGCACAGUCUGGCUUUGAAUUUGCAAUCUUCCUGCCUCAGCUUCCCAAAGUCAUGAGGAUUAUAAGUGUGCCCCACCACAGCCAACUACAUAGAUAUUUGAAGUUUAUAUUUGUAUAUACAUACAUACAUAUUUUAUACAUAUACACAUAUUCCUCGUAAGGUCUCACUUGUUAAAAAUAUUCUACAAUGGGGGAAAAUCCUCAAAAAUGUUGGUCUAAUAAAACUCAAUAAUUUUCUACAUGAGAAGCUGAGAAAUGGAAAGUGAUUUAUCCAAGGUUACAAAAUAAGUGGUAGAGGACUGGGGAUACAGCUCAGUUGGUAGAGUGCUUGCCUCAUAUGCAAUCCUCCAGAGAGAGAGGGAGAGGGAGAGGGAGAGGGAGAGGGAGAGGGAGAGAGAGAGAGAGAGAGAGAGAGAGAGAGAGAGAGAGAGAGAGAGAAAUGGUAGAAUGUUAACUCAGAACCAGGAUGUUCUUCAGCAUCUGUUUGAACUCUUUAUUUACAUUUCAUCUUCUUUCCGUUCUGUUAGAACAUUCAUUCAUCUAAUUAUACAUUCAUCAAACAGGUGUCAAGUAUCAGGGAUACUAAAAUAAAUAACACAUAGUUGCUACUUUCCAGUGUCUAAAAAUGGAAUGAAACAUAGAAACAAUAAUUGCAAUGCUGGAUGCUAAGCACAAAAAGGGCAAGUGAAAAUAACACCUAACAUUUAUUGUACACUUGCUAUCUCCAAGGUGCCAAGCUAAAUAUGUUUUAAGUAUUAACUCAGUUAAACCUAAGAACAAUCUCUGUUAGAUGUGGCCAUUAUCCCCAUUUUAUAAAAGAGGAAACUGAGAUCCUUAUGGGAAGGGGGGAUUAGGUUUCUUUUCCCAGGGUCGCACAGUAAGUAUAUUGUGGUAGUAUAGACUACAGGUACUAUGAGAAUAUAGCACAGGAAAUUGUUACUUAUUUAGCUGAAUUUAAAACUUUCAGAGACAUGUAACAUUGAUGCUAAGUCUAGAAGAAUGAAAGGAAAGAGGAAAGGGUGUUCAGGUAAAGGGAGUGUCAUGAGCAAGAAAGAUCACUUGUUAUUGGGAAUGAAUAUUGAGUUGCUGUGGCUGAUAGAAGCAUGCAAGAAUAGAAAAGUAGGUGAGAGCCUGAUUGUGAGGGUAAGAAUGUCUGGCUUAAGAUUUUGAGCUUUACUUUGUUGGUCAAUUGAGGAGCAUCACAAGUUUGUUUGUUAGGAACUAAUACAAUCAAGUAUUUUGCUUUUAAAGACCUAAGUGACAUUACUCUUAGUACUACCCACAUAGGUGAAAGAUUGGAUAGCAUAGUGGCAUUCUGUUGUCAUAUUCUAAUGGUCAAAAUGAACAUUGAUAAACUAGAUUAUUGAGUUGGUCUUCUUUCUGGAGUUUCCUCUAUUGCCCCUAAUUUUACACUCAGGAACCAUGCAGAUCAAGUCUAAUCUUUUUUUUAUCUAAAAGGAAAUGUAUUAAGGACUUCCCAAUCUCAGUCUUACCUCUUUGCCUGAAUGGACUAUGGUCUCAGUGAUUCUAAAGGACCCUUCCAGCUGUGACAUCUUGUAUCUGUGAUUCUUUGUAACCUUCGAAUCUGUCUUUAUCAGCUAGUAUUCCGAAGGAUAGGGACAGGUGUGCUGACCUAUUUGGACUUGUUUCUCCAAGAGAUGACAACCAAAGGUGACCCUUUAGAGUACUCCCCAUCCUUGGGUACCCAUUUUCUCUUCCUCCAUUUCAGCAGUGAGCCUAAAAGAUAUUGGAGAAGGCAAUGUGAGGAUGCUGGGCAUGCAGAUACCCAUAAAGGAUGUCGAGAUACUGGCUUCUGUUUCGAUUAUCAUGGGCAUCAUCCUCCUGCUUGCUACUCUGGCUCUUGGUGGUGUGGUCUGGUACCAGCAUCGACAAAGAAAGCUACGCCGCAACAGGAGGUCCAUCCUGGAUGAUAGCUUCAAGCUUCUGUCUCUCAAACAGUAAUAAUUGGAGCCUGGGGAUAUCCUCAGGAAGAACAUCUGGUUUGUACUCCCAGAACCUCAGGAGGCCAUGGACUAACAGCUAACUGUACUGUCAAAUGGGCAUGGGUGGUGAAGGAGGAGAGGAGGAGAUCAAAAUUACCUGCAUAUUUCUUCAUUUAUUUAUUCACAUGGAAAUGAUAUGCACUCAACUUUUUUGAGUUUCUUUUCUAUACUUUGGCACCCAGGACUAGGUAAGUCCCCUCGAAUCUUACAGCAUAAAUUGCAACAACUAAUCAACCUCCAACCUUUGGAAGGCCUGGAAAUUCCUAAAAAGUAAUCCUCUUCAGAAAGUAGAUAUCAAAAGAAAAACUCAUCAAUUGGGUUUCUGUUGCUUUCUACGAUGCAGGCAAGUUCACUUUGAACUGAGCUAAGUGAGCUAUGAAGAAAACCCACAAUUAAACUAAGAACUAAGAAACAUAGGCAUGAUGGGGAAUUGGAGGUAGGGUGGUAGGGAUUGGGGAUCCAAAUUAUAUUUUUAUUCUCCUUGGCAGUGGACUAUUUUGGAGAAAUGAGUGGAUGGUUGGUUAUUGCCAUGAUUACCAAGAACUGCUGGAGUCAGACGCACCUUAGAAAGCCAGUCCUUCAAGUUUCUACACAGUGGAACUGAAAGGAAUAUUCAGGGGCUUCUUUGUGUUUUAGGCCACACAUUAUGUCCAUUAAAGUACUUGUUAGAACACUAACAGAUUGAAUUUGAUUGUUUUGAUGUUCCCUGUGGAUUCUGGGAGGCAACUGGGGAGGUAUAGAAUGGGUCUGUCCAUCUUAUGUGGAUCCUAUAAGUUUGUAUUUUGGAAGCUGCUCCAGAAGAAGCCUCAAGUCAGAAUGUUGGGCAACAUUCUAGAAAU